CAGUAGCGUAUAUUAAAGCUGUUGCAGUUAAAAAGCUCGUAGUUGGAUCUUGGGCUUCGCGGGUGCGGUCCGCCGUGAGGCGUGUCUACUGCUCCCGCGGCCUUCCUCUCGGUUUUCUCGCCCGGUGCUCUUAACUGAGUGCCAGGAGGGACCGGUACGUUUACUUUGAAAAAAUUGGAGUGUUCAAAGCAGGCCUCGCGCCUGAACAGCAGAGCAUGGAAUAAUGGAAUAGGACCUCGGUUCUAUUGCGUUGGUUUUCGGAAGUCGAGGUAAUGAUUAAGAGGGACUGACGGGGGCAUUCGUAUUGCGGUGUGAGAGGUGAAAUUCUUGGAUCGCCGCAAGACGACCGACUGCGAAAGCAUUUGCCAAGAAUGUUUUCAUUAA
rnacentral:rRNA from 1 species